CAAUAGGAUAUAUCAAAGUUGUUGCAGUUGAAAAGCUCGUAGUCGUAUUUCUGGUGGGUUGAUGUCUCUGGUGGUAACGAUGAAAGUCGAUGCUGCUCGAGGCCGCCUGUCAUUUUGUGGAACUAUGUGGCCAGGUUUUGGUUUACUCCAUGGCCUGGUCGCACCACUCCGUCACUGAGAGCAAAUUGGAGUGCUCAAAGCAGGCUUUACAGCUUUGAACAUCUUAGCUUGGAAUGACAAAGUAUGACUUUUUGUUCACUUUGUUGGUUAUGAACUGGAAGUAAUGAUAAAUAGGAACAGUUGCGGGGGUACUCGUACUGGAAAGUCAGAGGUGAAAUUCUUGGAUUUUUCCACGACGAACGACUGCGAAAGCAUUUACCAAGGAUGUUUUCAUUGAUCAAG
rnacentral:rRNA from 1 species